GAUGAACGCUGGCGGCGUGCCUAAUACAUGCAAGUCGAGCGAACAGACGAGGAGCUUGCUCCUCUGACGUUAGCGGCGGACGGGUGAGUAACACGUGGAUAACCUACCUAUAAGACUGGGAUAACUUCGGGAAACCGGAGCUAAUACCGGAUAAUAUAUUGAACCGCAUGGUUCAAUAGUGAAAGACGGUUUUGCUGUCACUUAUAGAUGGAUCCGCGCCGCAUUAGCUAGUUGGUAAGGUAACGGCUUACCAAGGCAACGAUGCGUAGCCGACCUGAGAGGGUGAUCGGCCACACGGGAACUGAGACACGGUCCAGACUCCUACGGGAGGCAGCAGUAGGGAAUCUUCCGCAAUGGGCGAAAGCCUGACGGAGCAACGCCGCGUGAGUGAUGAAGGUCCUCGGAUCGUAAAACUCUGUUAUUAGGGAAGAACAAAUGUGUAAGUAACUAUGCACGUCUUGACGGUACCUAAUCAGAAAGCCACGGCUAACUACGUG
rnacentral:rRNA from 1 species